rnacentral:rRNA from 1 species
UACGAAGGGGGCUAGCGUUGCUCGGAAUCACUGGGCGUAAAGGGUGCGUAGGCGGGUCUUUAAGUCAGGGGUGAAAUCCUGGAGCUCAACUCCAGAACUGCCUUUGAUACUGAAGAUCUUGAGUUCGGGAGAGGUGAGUGGAACUGCGAGUGUAGAGGUGAAAUUCGUAGAUAUUCGCAAGAACACCAGUGGCGAAGGCGGCUCACUGGCCCGGUACUGACGCUGAGACGCGAAAGCGUGGGGAGCAAACAGG